rnacentral:rRNA from 1 species
GACAGAGGUGCCGAGCGUUAGGCGGAAUCACUGGGCUUAAAGCGUGUGUAGGCGGGCGGGCAAGUACCUUGUGAAAUCCCGCGGCUCAACCGUGGAACGGCUGGGUAUACUGCCUGUCUUGAGCCAACUAGGGGCGAGCGGAACAGACGGUGGAGCGGUGAAAUGCGUAGAUAUCGUCUGGAACGCCGAAGGUGAAAACAGCUCGCUGGGGUUGUGCUGACGCUGAGACAGAAACGCCAGGGGAGCGGAACGGG